rnacentral:rRNA from 1 species
UACGUAGGGGGCAAGCGUUAUCCGGAUUCACUGGGUGUAAAGGGAGCGUAGACGGCGACGCAAGUCUGGAGUGAAGCCCGGGGCCCAACCCCGGGACUGCUCUGGAAACUGCGGCGCUGGAGUACGGGAGGGGCAGGCGGAAUUCCUGGUGUAGCGGUGAAAUGCGUAGAUAUCAGGAGGAACACCGGCGGCGAAGGCGGCCUGCUGGACCGUGACUGACGUUGAGGCUCGAGAGCGUGGGGAGCAAACAGG